CACUUUCUCUUUAUAUGUACAUGCAUACAUGCAUUUAUGUAAAAAUCAGAAGUGGGCUUUUCUCGUUUUUGAGAGAGAGAGAGAGAGAGAGAGAGACCUGUGUUUUCAAAUGGAAAACAUGAAAACCCUUUCCGGGUUUUGCUGAUUUAGUUGUAUUGAAAGAAACAAACUGAAAAUCAAAACUGGGUUUUGCUCAUUUUAGAGAGAGAGAGAGAGAGAGAGAGAGAGAGAGAGAGAGAGAGCUGUGUUUUCAAAUGGAAAAGGGGAAAACCCUUUCUGGGUUUUGCUGAUUUAGUUGUAUUGAAAGAAACAAACUGAAAAUAAAAACUGGGUUUUGCUCAUUUUUGAGAGAGAGAGACCUGAAGAGAGAGCCUCAUUUUUGAGAGAGAGAAGCAUGAGAACUAUGGAUUUUGUUACAUUUCAUAUGUUACUUUUGUACAUACACAUCCAAUUUCCCCGGAAACACAAUAUUUUCAGGCUUUUGCUGCUUAAAGGGUCCAUGUGUCAUGAUGGUCCCAACUGAAUGAACGUUUUGGAUCAUCUUACAAACAUAUGCCAUAUGGAUGCUAGAGAAGGAGGCGGAUUGGGUGCAAAGUAGCGUUGGGCUCUAUGGGGCCCACCACAAUGUUUAUAUCCACGCUGUCCAUCCAUUUUUAAAGAUCAUUUUAUGGCCCAAGCCAAAAAAAUAA